AUACGUAGGGGGCGAGCGUUGUCCGGAAUGAUUGGGCGUAAAGGGCGCGUAGGCGGCCCGGUAAGUCUGGAGUGAAAGUCCUGUUUUUAAGAUGGGAAUUGCUUUGGAUACUGUCGGGCUUGAGUGCAGGAGAGGGAAGUGGAAUUCCCAGUGUAGCGGUGAAAUGCGUAGAGAUUGGGAGGAACACCAGUGGCGAAGGCGACUGCCUGGACUGAUACUGACACUGAGGUGCGAAAGCGUGGGUAGCAAACAGGAUUAGAUACCCUGGUAGUCCGCACAGUAAACGAUGGACACCCGCGGUUUGGCCUGUAUGGCUGAGCCGCCAAGCGAAAGCGUUAAGUGUCCCACCUGGGGAGUACGCCGGCAACGGUGAAACUCAAAUGAAUUGGCGGGG
rnacentral:rRNA from 1 species